rnacentral:rRNA from 1 species
UGGGGAAUAUUGCACAAUGGGCGCAAGCCUGAUGCAGCAACGCCGCGUGAGGGACGACGGCCUUCGGGUUGUAAACCUCUUUUAGUAGGGAAGAAGCGAAAGUGACGGUACCUGCAGAAAAAGCACCGGCUAACUACGUGCCAGCAGCCGCGGUAAUACGUAGGGUGCGAGCGUUGUCCGGAAUUAUUGGGCGUAAAGAGCUCGUAGGCGGUCUGUCGCGUCUGCUGUGAAAACCCGAGGCUCAACCUCGGGCCUGCAGUGGGUACGGGCAGACUAGAGUGCGGUAGGGGGAGAAUGGAAUUCCUGGUGUAGCGGUGGAAUGCGCAGAUAUCAGGAGGAACACCGAUGGCGAAGGCAGUUCUCUGGGCCGUAACUGACGCUGAGGAGCGAAAGCGUGGGGAGCGAACAGGAUUAGAUACCCUGGUAGUCCACGCCGUAAACGUUGGGCGCUAGAUGUGGGGGACCAUUCCACGGGUUUCCGUGUCGGCAGCUAACGCAUUAAGCGCCCCGCCUGGGGGAGUACGG